rnacentral:tRNA from 1 species
GCCGAGGUAGCUAAGCGGUUUACAGCGGUAGGCUCGAGACCUACUGGGGGGAAACCUCCUCGGGAGUUCGAAUCUCCCCCUCGGCG